rnacentral:rRNA from 1 species
CGUGGAUCGAUUUGUCUGGUUUAUUCCGAUAACGAGCGAGACUCUAGCCUACUAAAUAGUAACGAGAUUAUCAAUGUCUCAGUUGCUUCUUAGAGGGAUUUUCGGUGUUUAGCCGCACGAGAUUGAGCAAUAACAGGUCUGUGAUGCCCUUAGAUGUCCGGGGCUGCACGCGCGCUACACUGGCGAAAUCAGCGUGCUGUAUCCAUUCUCGAAAGGGAUUGGUAAACCCAUGAAAAUUUGCCGUGCUUGGGAUCGGAAAUUGCAAUUAUUUUCCGUGAACGAGGAAUUCCAAGUAAGUGCGAGUCAUCAACUCGCUCUGAU